CGCAUCUGUGCAUGCAGCAUAUCAAUAAGCGGAGGAAAAGAAACUAACAAGGAUUCCCUUAGUAACGGCGAGUGAAGCGGGAAGAGCUCAAAUUUGAAAUCUUCAAGGUUUUACCUUGACGAAUUGUAGUUUAAAGAAGUGUUUUCUGUUGAAGUUUUGGUAAAAGUUCUUUGGAAUAGGACAUCAUAGAGGGUGAGAAUCCCGUAUUUGACCAUUAUUUUCAGCUGUGUAGAUACACUUUCAAAGAGUCGGAUUGUUUGGGAAUGCAGUCCAAAAUGGGUGGUAAAUUUCAUCUAAAGCUAAAUAUUGGCGAGAGACCGAUAGCGAACAAGUACCGUGAGGGAAAGAUGAAAAGAACUUUGAAAAGAGAGUUAAACAGUACGUGAAAUUGUCAAAAGGGGAGCGUUUGACACCAGUGUUGUUUUCUCGAAAAUCAAUUAAAAAGAGUUUGAUUUUGUUGUGUAUUGACCUUAACAGCUUGCAUUUCAAUUUUCUUGCUUUUUUUAAUGCACUUUUCGUUUAACAAGUCAACAUCAGUUUCUUUUGUUGUAAAAAGGUCAUUGGAAGGUGGCUUUCUUUUCGGAGAAAGUGUUUAUAGCCUUUGACUCCUGCAAUCGGAGAGACUGAGGUCUGCAGCGUAGAUCCUUCGGGGUUAGAUACAUUUGUGCUAAGUUAUAGCUUUUUAUAGACAACUUGUUGACUAUGAUUAGUCUUGUAGCCUACUCGCUUAUGCUAUUUUACCUACGCUUAGGAUGUUGACGCGCGUGUGUGCGUG
rnacentral:rRNA from 1 species